GUGCCCUGUGUGACGUGAUGUCCUGACAUGUUAGUGGUGCAAAACCAUAACAUAAAGCUAUGUCAAGAUCUGGGAAGUCUGAGGAAGUUAAAUGAGGCGUAUUCAAACAUUCCCUGACGUGUGGUAGAAGACAGGAAGAAUGACACUUGCUAAUUUGAAUUUCAGAACACACCUAAACCAUAUUCUGAUCUCCAGCAAUGAAAUAUCUGGACAGAAGGUAGAGGUCUACUGUGAGAGAUCUGUGAAUAGUAUGGUUGAUGUAUUCCUUGACAUGCGAUAACCUGCACUGGUCACAGAGCUCCACAUGAGGAUUUAUCAAGUCUGAGCAGAGUGGAAGAAAUAUUUUGGUUUCCAGUUCCAAGUAACUGUCCAGCUACCUCAAAUCUACUUGCCUAUGGGAAUGUCCUGUGAGAUGUCAAAAGCCAAAAUCCAGAUGCAUGACAGUAUUUAUUCUCCUCUAUUCUUACAGCUUGUUAUCUGCCAUGGAGAGAAAUAAGUUUGUCCUGACAUGAUUUAUUUAUGAAAAAUUCAUGUUGGCUCUUACUCACAUCCUGGUUAUAGUCCAGAUUCUUACAAAUAGAUCUUUUCAUUAUUUAUUCUGAUAUUUUUCUAGUGAUUUGAAGUUAGGCUCUGUUCUCUUUUUUCGAGGUUCAAAAAAAAUAAGUAAAUGUUUGCCCUUUCUAGUCUUCUGGAAUCUGUAUUCCUCAAGUUGCUAAACAAAAUUGCUGAUGUCUCUGAAACUGUUUUCUGUGUUCUCAGUGCUGAAUUACAUCAGGUCUAGCCAAUCUGAACUCUACUAUAUAAUCUGUGUAGAUUCUACCAUUAUUCCUUCCUUUUACUAGCCUGAUUUUCACCUUUCUAUUUAUGAUUUUAUUGGGCUAUGACAUGAAAACUGCCCUUUUAAGCAAAGUCUGAAGUAAAUAAUUAAAUAAAUAAAGCAUCGAACGUGCUUUCAAGUUAUAGUGGUUAUUAGUGUAAUCGUGAUAGCCUGAGAGUGUAAAAAAGGAAAGGUUGUGGGAAAAAGUGAUCUCUUUUAUUAGACCAAUGGA